rnacentral:rRNA from 1 species
CUGCGGAGGGAUCAUUACACAAUAUGAAAGCGGGUUGGGACCUCACCUCGGUGAGGGCUCCAGCUUGUCUGAAUUAUUCACCCAUGUCUUUUGCGCACUUCUUGUUUCCUGGGCGGGUUCGCCCGCCACCAGGACCAAACCAUAAACCUUUUUGUAAUUGCAAUCAGCGUCAGUAAACAAUGUAAUUAUUACAACUUUCAACAACGGAUCUCUUGGUUCUGGCAUCGAUGAAGAACGCAGCGAAAUGCGAUACGUAGUGUGAAUUGCAGAAUUCAGUGAAUCAUCGAAUCUUUGAACGCACAUUGCGCCCUUUGGUAUUCCAAAGGGCAUGCCUGUUCGAGCGUCAUUUGUACCCUCAAGCUUUGCUUGGUGUUGGGCGUCUUUGUCUCUCACGAGACUCGCCUUAAAAUGAUUGGCAGCCGACCUACUGGUUUCGGAGCGCAGCACAAUUCUUGCACUUUGAAUCAGCCUUGGUUGAGCAUCCAUCAAGACCACAUUUUCUUAACUUUUGACCUCGGAUCAGGUAGGGAUACCCGCUGAACUUAAGCAUAUCAA